ACCAAUAGAACAUGAGAGAACUAGGCUAUACUGGUUUCAAUGGCAUUCUCCAGCCUAUAAAAUAAUUUCCUUCACGUUUGGUUGUAUUUUGUCUAGGCUACUUUGAAGCAAGGUAAGCCAUGCCCCAAAACGUUCAGAUUUCAAACAAGUUUGCUUUGAAAAUGCAUACUUCCUCCAGCUCAUUGCAACAUGUUGUGUGAUGAGCUGAAGCCUGCCUACCUUUGCCUAAGCACUUGAAUGGCAAAUGGGAAGCGAGUUUCAAUUACCAGUUGAGAAAUAAAACUAGUAGCUCUCUUCAAUCAUGGCCAUCAGUGUUUUUAACACACGAUUGCAUUUAGAGUUGUUGCGCAAUGAAGGGGCUAAUAAAAGCACGUUUCAUUCUCCAGCAGUAAACAAACCGUAGCAGCAGCUCUCGCGCUACAUCGACUGACCAACAGACAGACCGAGAUACACACAGAGCAGAAGCUAAAGGGGAGAGGAAGGCUGCCUGUCAGGGUCUCGUUGAUCCCCCUCCGUUCCUCAGAUGAACCCCCUCAACUCCAUGAAACCCGGUCUGCCUCCCACUCCGCACAGGUACACACACACACUCUGAAUGACUCCGAGAGGAAGUGCUGAGUGCAUUGUCCUCAGACAAAUCGUUAGUUGUCUUCUGGUUGGCUUUCACCUCUCCCGCUAUUAGCUGGGCUCUGGGACUCAAUGGCUGCUGCUGGUGGUGGAGCGAGAUUACGUCCUGUGAUUUCAGUUGAGGGAGUGGAGGGUAACCUCAGCCCCCCCCCCCCCCCACACACACGUACACACUCAGGGGCCUCCUUUGUUA
rnacentral:lncRNA from 1 species